UACGUAGGGGGGCUAGCGUUGUCCGGAAUCAUUGGGCGUAAAGCGCGCGUAGGCGGCCCGGUAAGUCCGUUGUGAAAGUCAAAGGCUCAACCUUUGAACGCCGAUGGAUACUGCCGGGCUAGAGUCCGGAAGAGGCGAGUGGAAUUCCUGGUGUAGCGGUGGAAUGCGCAGAUAUCAGGAGGAACACCAAUAGCGAAGGCAGCUCGCUGGGACGGUACUGACGCUGAGGCGCGAAAGCGUGGGGGAGCGAACAGG
rnacentral:rRNA from 1 species